rnacentral:lncRNA from 1 species
ACCAAUUGUUAGGACUAACAGCACCCUGGUAUCAUCUAACUCUAAUAUCAACUGUUGAAGGAUCGCCUUCACCCAUAUGGAUCUGAGGAAACCUACGAUGGAUCCUUCUCAAGGAUAGUAACCAUCAAGCCCUAAAUCCGAACUUGAUCUUUGAUACCGCAUGCCUCCUUCUAGGGAAGGGGGCGCGCGUGAUGCCCUUGGGGCGGCAUGCAAAACCUGAG